rnacentral:lncRNA from 1 species
CAACCGAUUGACCGAUUCAUCUGAAAAUUUCAGGGCAGAUAGAUCUUGACCUGAUAAACAUUUUUAUCCCGUCAGAUUUCCUCAAAAUGCUUUGGUUUUUGAGUUAUAAGCCAAAAACUGCAUUUUACCCCUUUGUUCUAUUUUUAGCCGUGGCAGCCAUCUUGGUUGGUUGACCAGGUCACGCCACACAUUUUUUAAACUAGAUACCCCAAAGAUGAUUGUGGCCAAGUUUGGAUUAAUUUGGCCCAGUAUUUUCAGAGGAGAAGAUUUUUGUAAAAGAUUACUUUAAUUAACGAAAAAUGGUUAAAAAUUGACUAUAAAGGGCAAUAACUCCUAAACGGGUCAACUGACCAUUUUGGUCAUGUUGACUUAUUUGUAGAUCUUACUUUGCUGAACAUUAUUGCUGUUUACAGUUUAUCUCUAUCUAUAAUAAUAUUCAAGAUAAUAACCAAAAACAG